UACGUAGGGGGCAAGCGUUGUCCGGAUUUAUUGGGCGUAAAGAGCGUGUAGGCGGCCGCACAGGUCCGUUGUGAAAACUGGAGGCUUAACCUUCAGACGUCGAUGGAAACCGUGCGGCUAGAGUCCGGAAGAGGAGAAUGGAAUUCCUGGUGUAGCGGUGAAAUGCGCAGAUAUCAGGAAGAACACCCGUGGCUAAGGCGGUUCUCUAGUACGGUACUGACGCUGAGACGCGAAAGCGUGGGGAGCGAACAGGAUUAGAUACCCUACGUAGU
rnacentral:rRNA from 1 species